GAUGAGUUAUGCAUGUAUACAUGUGUAUAUGUUAUGUUUGUUUUGUUGUUUGGGGUUAUUAGCUAGUUUUGGACCCCUGUGAUCAUAUACAUGAGUAUAUGUAUGUUGAGGAGGUGAAGUUUGCAUGGUUUGAGAAGUUGAAGGAAAGAAGGAGAUGGUUUGCCGUUGAAACUGAGUUCGGGAUGAACUCAGGUUCGGCAGCCGAAAGUUCAUUCGGCCGCCGAACCUCUUGCAUGGUGGCUUAAUUGCCACAGCUUGCCCCCGAGUGUUUUUGCAUGUUCGGCUCUGUUUGGGGGAUUCGGCCGCCGAAGGUGCCGCCGAAGGUGCUUGAGUUUCGUCUCUGGAGAGGACAUUCGGCCGCCGAACCUGCCGCCGAAAGUGUCCUGUCCAGCUUUCUUUUACAUGCUUUGCAUGGAUAGUUGAGUGAGUUUAAGGGGAUUCUUGGGGAGUUUAAUAGAGGUAUUGAUAAGUUAGUUUGGUCCCUCAUUUGAGUCCAUCUGUAUAGGUACAGACCAGAGGAACCAGAGAGAGCAGCAGUGAGUACUGCUCCAGAGGUUCAGAGCCUGCAGAGUCAGUCAGUCCAGUUAGCCCAAGGUGAGUGGAACUAAACUUAUAACUUUUAAUUGAAUCAUAAACUGCUUUUAGCAUAUCUCAUGCAUCAUGUUUAUGCCAUAGGUUGCUUGCAUUAGUAUGCACGAAUAUGUUGCAUUGCAUCGUUAAUUGGUGAUGUGAGUAAAUGCUGAAUGAUCCAAUAGUCACAGACAGGAAGACCAGGAGCCUUUGACUACGCCCUGGCACGUAUAGCAAAGACCAGGAGCCUUUGACUACGCCCUGGCAGGUAUAUAGUAAAGUCCAGGAGCCUUUGACUACGCCCUGGCAAUGGUAAGUUUACAGGUGUUAUAUACACAUAUACAUAUAUGACAGGAAGACCAGGUGCUCGAUUCUACGCCCUGGCACAGAGUUACUGGGACUAUGUGGUGACAGGUUUACUCUUGAUGUGGCUUGUCUGUGAUAUGGUGCAUUCCAUGAGAUCAUUUUACUGAGAUGUUUUACUGUUCUACUCACUGGGCUAUAGAGCUCAUCCCACUCCCUUAACCCCAGUUUUGCAGGUUCAGUGUACAGUGUACAGGGACAGUCCAG
rnacentral:lncRNA from 1 species